rnacentral:rRNA from 1 species
AACGAACGCUGGCGGCAUGCCUAACACAUGCAAGUCGAACGAGACCUUCGGGUCUAGUGGCGCACGGGUGCGUAACGCGUGGGAACCUGCCCUUAGGUUCGGAAUAACUCCCCGAAAGGGGUGCUAAUACCGGAUAAUGUCUUCGGACCAAAGAUUUAUCGCCUUUGGAUGGGCCCGCGUUGGAUUAGCUAGUUGGUAGGGUAAAAGCCUACCAAGGCGACGAUCCAUAGCUGGUCUGAGAGGAUGACCAGCCACAUUGGGACUGAGACACGGCCCAGCCCCUACCGGGAGGCGGGGGUGGGGAUUUUUGAACAAUGGCCGAACGCCUAAUCCCGCACUCCCGCGGGAGUGUUGAGGCCCUUGGGUUUUUAAAUCUUUUUUCCCCGGGAUGAUAAUGACCGUCCCGGGAAAAUAAGCUCCGCCUAACCCCGUC